GGGGACGUCCUCCAAGAGGGCGUUGGGGUCGGGUUUGCGGACGCGGACAGGGAGCUUGGGGCCGGCGAGGGCGGCGUUCUGGGCGGCGAGCUUGGCUUCCUCCUUCUUGUCGUAUAUGGGCUGGACGAUCUCCCGUCGGAGCGUCCUCAGCCUCUUCUUCCUCUUCGACCGCAGCGACUUCGCCAUUUCUCUCUAGGUCGGCG
rnacentral:misc_RNA from 1 species